rnacentral:lncRNA from 1 species
GAUGAUAUGCCUCACUCGCCUCUCUGCCGAGUUCCGGCAGAGAUUGGGAUGAGGAGAGACACUUGCGGAUAUUCAAGCUGGUUGCUUUCUGUCUAGAAGGAUUUUGCUGUUGUUCGUGAAGCUGCGAAACAGAAGCUUGGUAUGCGUCAUUUCGAUGUUCAGGUAAUUUUAUGCCAGAUUAUUGGUGGGGCGGUGACCUAAUUAGUACCUUUGGUUGACUGUUGGCCUUCAUGAGGAGAUUUUCUUCGCUCUGUUCAACAGCAACUAACACCUGAGUUUCGAGAAGUUCGAACUACCUCAGUGGAGAAUUUGCUAUAUGUAAAAGAUCUUAUCAUUCUGCGUCAGCAUAGUUUCUUUGAGCUAAUUGUAAACAAGCUUUUUCAUUUUUAUGUACAUGAGGAUGUGCGAACAAUUGCCGAAGCUACAAUAGAGAAGGAUGAGGUUAUCAAUAAGAGUGGAGCUACUCCAGCAAUAGUGCGUGAUAGUUGUAAAUGAGAAGCUUUGUGAUUGUCUCCCAAUUUGUUGACAUGGAUGAGAUGUCUUGAGUGAGAUAAUGCAAACUUGAGUUACUAAUCUUUAUGGAAUUUUCAAUAUGUAAUUACUACUUUGAUUUAUAAUAAAAGUGAUU